rnacentral:rRNA from 1 species
UACGUAGGGUGCAAGCGUUGUUCGGAAUUACUGGGCGUAAAGGGCUCGUAGGCGGCCAACUAAGUCGGACGUGAAAUCCCCAGGCUCAACCUGGGAACUGCGUCCGAUACUGGAUGGCUUGAAUUCGGGAGAGGGAUGCAGAAUUCCAGGUGUAGCGGUGAAAUGCGUAGAUAUCUGGAGGAAUACCGGUGGCGAAGGCGGCAUCCUGGACCGACAUUGACGCUGAGGAGCGAAAGCUAGGGGAGCAAACGGG